CCAGGCGUACAUCAGAUCAGCUCUGUCAACAUCACAAGAAAGAUAAAUUGGGUGCAUGUUAUUGAACUUACUGAAAUUUACUUUUUUACAGUGACUUUUAAAAGAUUUAAAGAGCACAGGAGAUACAAAAGAGGUAAACAAGAUCAUCUGAGAAGCAGAGAAUGUCGUUUCUAUGCUCUUUUCUCCUUUUUGUGGCAGUGCGGUGAUUGGGAUUUUAAUUUCUUCUCAAUUUCAAGAAAAAACAAACAGGAGUGGAACUGAAGAAGAGAGGAAAAUUAAAGAAAAAAGAAGACUCUACACGUCAGAAGGCACUUGACAAAGGCCUGAUCCAGGAGACUAGUCAUGGAGGAGGAUUACAGGAAACCACCACCGCUUUAUGAAGAAGUUAUUACCCAGCAGCACACGAGCAACACUAGUCAGAGCCGCUCCGCUGAUAACAGGCAGGGCUGCUGCUGCAGGUGCUGUAUUAGCACCAAGAACUGUCUGAUGAGUCCGGAGUGCGGUCGAGCUCUUAGCAUCGCCAAUGUGAUUGCCAUGUGUGGCAUGUGCAUUCGAAUGUUUGUCUAAAACAGUCUCCUGUGGACCAUCUAUUCCAGUUCUCUCAACCAGUGGUGGCCUUCUCAAAUUAAAAGGGAAACAAAGACAUUUGCUCUGUUCCAAAACCUAGUGAUCUGCAACAUUUAUAAGCUCCCCUGCAAUACGAAUCCCAAUGCUGUUCCAAAAAGAAUGCAGCACUGCAUGUAUCAUUCAGCUAACUGACUAAAGUUUCACCUUUACGAUAUGUGUUUUCUUUUUGGAAGACAAUAGCAGACAAUAGAGUUAAACAGUUGUAUUACUAUUUUCUCUUUAAUCCAAGUCGCCUAUGUUUAUCUAGAGCUUCAUACAAUACUAAACAGGAAAGAAACAGAAUCAGUGACGCAAACCUCAUCAAAUAUAAUGGAAAGCAGCUCUAACAAGACAUUUCUAAAAUAGUUGCAGUCAUUUGGAAACGACAAUAAAUCUCUUUUUUUUUCAUAAAUUGGAGCCAGUCAUGUAAUUGGAUGUGGCAUCCCCCUUAAUUAUGUAUCAGGUUAGCCAAACUUUGCAUUUAUCAUUAACAUUUCUUCUAAAACUUCUUGUGUGAAAAUAUAAUUUAUAUUACAAAAUUAUGUUGUAAAUGAUGUGCACUAGACCGACAGGUCAAUAAAUCACAAUGCAAGAUUA